AGUGAACGCUGGCGGUAGGCCUAACACAUGCAAGUCGAACGGCAGCACAGUAAGAGCUUGCUCUUACGGGUGGCGAGUGGCGGACGGGUGAGGAAUACAUCGGAAUCUACUUUUUCGUGGGGGAUAACGUAGGGAAACUUACGCUAAUACCGCAUACGACCUACGGGUGAAAGCAGGGGAUCUUCGGACCUUGCGCGAUUGAAUGAGCCGAUGUCGGAUUAGCUAGUUGGCGGGGUAAAGGCCCACCAAGGCGACGAUCCGUAGCUGGUCUGAGAGGAUGAUCAGCCACACUGGAACUGAGACACGGCCCAGACUCCUACGGGAGGCAGCAGUGGGGAAUAUUGGACAAUGGGCGCAAGCCUGAUCCAGCCAUACCGCGUGGGUGAAGAAGGCCUUCGGGUUGUGAAGCCCUUUUGUUGGGAAAGAAAAGCAGCAGGUUAAUACCCCGCUGUUCUGACGGUACCCAAAGAAUAAGCACCGGCUAACUUCGUG
rnacentral:rRNA from 1 species